CGGGGCGGCGUCUAACCAUGCAGUCGACGAUGAGCCCUUCGGGGUGGAUUAGUGGCGAACGGGUGAGUAACACGUGGGCAAUCUGCCCUUCACUCUGGGACAAGCCCUGGAAACGGGGUCUAAUACCGGAUAACACUCUGUCCCGCAUGGGACGGGGUUAAAAGCUCCGGCGGUGAAGGAUGAGCCCGCGGCCUAUCAGCUUGGUGGUGGGGUAAUGGCCUACCAAGGCGACGACGGGUAGCCGGCCUGAGAGGGCGACCGGCCACACUGGGACUGAAACACGGCCCAAACUCCUACGGGAGGCAGCAGUGGGGAAUAUUGCACAAUGGGCGAAAGCCUGAUGCAGCGACGCCGCGUGAGGGAUGACGGCCUUCGGGUUGUAAACCUCUUUCAGCAGGGAAGAAGCGAAAGUGACGGUACCUGCAGAAGAAGCGCCGGCUAACUACGUGCCAGCAGCCGCGGUAAUACGUAGGGCGCAAGCGUUGUCCGGAAUUAUUGGGCGUAAAGAGCUCGUAAGCGGCUUGGCACGUCGGAUGUGAAAGCCCGGGGCUUAACCCCGGGUCUGCAUUCGAUACGGGCUAGCUAGAGUGUGGUAGGGGAGAUCGGAAUUCCUGGUGUAGCGGUGAAAUGCGCAGAUAUCAGGAGGAACACCGGUGGCGAAAGCGGAUCUCUGGGCCAUUACUGACGCUGAGGAGCGAAAGCGUGGGGAGCCGAACAGGAUUAGAUACCCUGGUAGUCCACCGCCCGUAAAACGUUGGGAACUAAGUGUUGGCGACAAUUCCACGGUCGUCGGUGUCCGCAGCUAACGCAAUUAAGUCCCCGGCCUGGGGGAGUAACGGGCCGCCAAGGCUAAAACUUCAAAAGGGAUUGACGGGGGGCCCGGCACAAGCAGCGCGGAGCCAUGGUGGUCUAUUCGACGCCAACGGCGUAGAACCCUUAACCAUAGGCCUUGAACAUUAUAUCUCG
rnacentral:rRNA from 1 species